rnacentral:rRNA from 1 species
UACGUAGGGUGCAAGCGUUAAUCGGAAUUACCGGGCGUAAAGCGUGCGCAGGCGGUUAUGCAAGACAGAUGUGAAAUCCCCGGGCUUAACCUGGGAACUGCAUUUGUGACUGCAUAGCUAGAGUACGGUAGAGGGGGAUGGAAUUCCGCGUGUAGCAGUGAAAUGCGUAGAUAUGCGGAGGAACACCGAUGGCGAAGGCAGUCCCCUGGACCUGUACUGAUGCUCAUGCACGAAAGCGUGGGGAGCAAACAGG